AUCCUGGCUCAGGACGAACGCUGGCGGCGCGCCUAACACAUGCAAGUCGAACGAGCGAGAGAGAGCUUGCUUUCUCGAGCGAGUGGCGAACGGGUGAGUAACGCGUGAGGUACCUGCCUCAAAGAGGGGGACAACAGUUGGAAACGACUGCUAAUACCGCAUAAGCCCACGGCUCGGCAUCGAGCAGAGGGAAAAGGAGCAAUCCGCUUUGAGAUGGCCUCGCGUCCGAUUAGCUAGUUGGUGAGGUAAUGGCCCACCAAGGCGACGAUCGGUAGCCGGACUGAGAGGUUGAACGGCCACAUUGGGACUGAGACACGGCCCAGACUCCUACGGGAGGCAGCAGUGGGGAAUAUUGCACAAUGGGGGAAACCCUGAUGCAGCGACGCCGCGUGGAGGAAGAAGGUCUUCGGAUUGUAAACUCCUGUUGUUGGGGAAGAUAAUGACGGUACCCAACAAGGAAGCGACGGCUAACUACGUGCCAGCAGCCGCGGUAAAACGUAGGUCACAAGCGUUGUCCGGAAUUACUGGGUGUAAAGGGAGCGCAGGCGGGAAGACAAGUUGGAAGUGAAAUCUAUGGGCUCAACCCAUAAACUGCUUUCAAAACUGUUUUUCUUGAGUAGUGCAGAGGUAGGCGGAAUUCCCGGUGUAGCGGUGGAAUGCGUAGAUAUCGGGAGGAACACCAGUGGCGAAGGCGGCCUACUGGGCACCAACUGACGCUGAGGCUCGAAAGUGUGGGUAGCAAACAGGAUUAGAUACCCUGGUAGUCCACACCGUAAACGAUGAUUACUAGGUGUUGGAGGAUUGACCCCUUCAGUGCCGCAGUUAACACAAUAAGUAAUCCACCUGGGGAGUACGACCGCAAGGUUGAAACUCAAAGGAAUUGACGGGGGCCCGCACAAGCAGUGGAGUAUGUGGUUUAAUUCGACGCAACGCGAAGAACCUUACCAAGUCUUGACAUCCCUUGACAGGCAUAGAAAUAUGUUUUCUCUUCGGAGCAAGGAGACAGGUGGUGCAUGGUUGUCGUCAGCUCGUGUCGUGAGAUGUUGGGUUAAGUCCCGCAACGAGCGCAACCCUUAUGGUCAGUUACUACGCAAGAGGACUCUGGCCAGACUGCCGUUGACAAAACGGAGGAAGGUGGGGAUGACGUCAAAUCAUCAUGCCCUUUAUGACUUGGGCUACACACGUACUACAAUGGCGUUAAACAAAGAGAAGCAAGACCGCGAGGUGGAGCAAAACUCAGAAACAACGUCCCAGUUCGGACUGCAGGCUGCAACUCGCCUGCACGAAGUCGGAAUUGCUAGUAAUCGUGGAUCAGCAUGCCACGGUGAAUACGAACCCGGGCCUUGCACACACCGCCCGUCA
rnacentral:rRNA from 1 species